AUGAAGAAUCAGAAAGGAUUAAAGGCUUACCUGCCGAGUCGCUCCGAUGGCUCUUCAACCGUGGCGUUCGUAGAAGAAAUCCAGACAAUCUUGAUUAAGGGCUUAAUGCUAACUGUUAGUAGUGGUUUGAAAUUCUGUUAUUCUUCACAUGAUAAGGUGGAAUUGGAACAUGCCUAUUGUGAGCAAAAUGUUCUUUUGGAUUUCCAGGUUUCGUUUCUAGAUUACAAGGUUUCUAAUGUGAUGGUAGUAGGAAACCGAAUCAUGAAGAGAUGA